CCAGACUCCUACGGGAGGCAGCAGUGGGGGAUAUUGCACAAUGGGGGGAACCCUGAUGCAGCGACGCCGCGUGGGUGAAGGAGCGUUUCGGCGCGUAAAGCUCUAUCAGCAGGGAAGAGAAUGACGGUACCUGACUAAGAAGCCCCGGCUAACUACGUGCCAGCAGCCGCGGUAAUACGUAGGGGGCGAGCGUUAUCCGGAUUUACUGGGUGUAAAGGGAGCGUAGACGGUUCUGCAAGUCUGAAGUGAAAGCCCGUGGCUUAACCGCGGAACGGCUUUGGAAACUGUGGAACUGGAGUGCUGGAGAGGCAAGCGGAAUUCCUAGUGUAGCGGUGAAAUGCGUAGAUAUUAGGAGGAACACCAGUGGCGAAGGCGGCUUACUGGACGGCAACUGACGCUGAGGCUCGAAAGCGUGGGGAGCAAACAGGAUUAGAUACCCCAGUAAAG
rnacentral:rRNA from 1 species